CCUACGGGUGGCAGCAGUGGGGAAUAUUGGACAAUGGGGGGAACCCUGAUCCAGCCAUGCCGCGUGUGUGAAGAAGGCCCUCGGGUUGUAAAGCACUUUCAGUGAGGAAGAACGCCUGGUGGUUAAUACCCAUCAGGAAAGACAUCACUCACAGAAGAAGCACCGGCUAACUCCGUGCCAGCAGCCGCGGUAAUACGGAGGGUGCGAGCGUUAAUCGGAAUUACUGGGCGUAAAGCGCGCGUAGGUGGCUUGAUAAGCCGGUUGUGAAAGCCCCGGGCUCAACCUGGGAACGGCAUCCGGAACUGUCAAGCUAGAGUGCAGGAGAGGAAGGUAGAAUUCCCGGUGUAGCGGUGAAAUGCGUAGAGAUCGGGAGGAAUACCAGUGGCGAAGGCGGCCUUCUGGACUGACACUGACACUGAGGUGCGAAAGCGUGGGUAGCAAACAGGAUUGGAUACCCCUGUAGUC
rnacentral:rRNA from 1 species